AUACGUAGGUGACAAGCGUUAUCCGGAUUUACUGGGCGUAAAGGGCGUGUAGGCGGACUUGCAAGUCAGAAGUGAAAUUCCUGAGCUCAACUCGGGCGCUGCUUCUGAAACUGCAGGACUUGAGUGCUGGAGGGGAUAGCGGAAUUCCUAGGUGAGAGGUAAAAUGCGAAGAUAUUAGGAAGAACCCCGGUGGCGAAGGCGGCUAUCUGGACAAGAACUGACGCUGAGGCGCAAAAGCGUGGGUGGCAAACAGGAUUAGAUGCCCUGGUAGUCCACGCCGUAAACGAGGAAUACUAGGUGUAGGGGGUAUCGACUCCCUCUGUGCCGCAGUUAACACAAUAAGUAUUCCGCCUGGGGAGUACGGCCGCAAGGUUGAAACUCAAAUGAAUUGGCGGGG
rnacentral:rRNA from 1 species